GAUGAAGAACGUAGCGAAAUGCGAUACGUAAUGUGAAUUGCAGAAUUCAGUGAAUCAUCGAGUCUUUGAACGCACAUUGCGCCCCCUGGUAUUCUGGCGGGCAUGCCUGUUCGAGCGUCAUUUCAACCAUCAAGCCCCCGGCUUGUGUUGGGGACCUGCGGCUGCCGCAGGCCCUGAAAAGCAGUGGCGGGCUCGCUGUCACACCGAGCGUAGUAGCAUACAUCUCGCUCUGGGCGUGCUGCGGGUUCCGGCCGUUAAACCACCUUCAUAACCCAAGGUUGACCUCGGAUCAGGUAGGAAGACCCGCUGAACUUAAGCAUAUCAAUAAGCGGAGGA
rnacentral:misc_RNA from 1 species